rnacentral:tRNA from 1 species
ACGACAAUACCUCAGUUGGUAGAGGAUCUGUCGGGUAAGUGGAAUUUUGCCGGUUGGAUUCCGGUUGGUGACGUU